UAAUGCCAACAACUUCCAUAAACGUCGGGGUUGCCGAUUGAGGUGCCGCAUUAGAGGUCCUUCCUAAAGGCUCCGUGGAUGGAAGCUCGCCUUGCUUUGCACUGAAGGAACAGAGAGGCCAGUUCAGGACGAGACCAGGCGCACAAAGCCUCCAGGCGCCUUUCAAAGGGAGGGAGUUCUGGAAUAAAUGAUUGUCCAAAG